CUAUAAGAAAGAUCAAAUAUCUGUUGUGGAUACCCUAUGCAAAUACUAUUAUGAGUUCGGAAAAUCAAAAGUGAUAACAACGUUAACUGCUUGAGUGUUUAUUCCUCUAGUAAGCAAAUUUGUGCCAUAAAGAAAGAACACCAAAUUAUGAAAUCAAACAAUUAACAAAAUAGACAUUAUAUCACAGGAACACUUGUUGAUCCUGGUUAAAGAACAAAAACCAAUGACAUUUGUUAUGCAUCAUGAAAGAUAAAGUAAAAAUAUAUCAUCUAAGAACAAUGUAAGAAUCACCCAUUACUAAAUAAACAAAGGGAUGACACACCACCAAAGAGAGCUCAGUAAUACAAAGAAUAUCGAAUAUAGAAUACAUAUUAGUAAAGCCACAUAUUAAAGCAAAUAAAAUGCAUAAGCUUCAAGUAGCAUCUAGUUUAUGCCAAGGUACUGUUCGCUUUUGACCUAUGCCAAGGUAUAGUCAACUUUGAACCUAAUUUAAAAUUGAAUUCCUUACUCCACCUUUUAUGAUCACUAAACUUCUGCUCCAUUUAGAUGUGGUAUUUGGCAAGACUGGACAAAAUCUUGGCUGUUAACAUCUUUUGCAGCACUUGUACUUUUGUGAUUCAACAUUGUUUUCGGCAUAACAAAACAUACAGGUAGAUUCUAACUACUAAGGUCUGCUAAACAAUGAAAAUCUAGUGAGUUUAAUUGGAUAUUGCGCAGAGCUUGAUAACAGACUUCUUUUUUAUGAAGGUAUGUCAAGAGGAUGUUUGGAAAAUCAUUUAUUCAAACGUGAGUCAAUACUCUUUACAUGUUAGCAUUAUGAGAAUGUCACUGGUAGGAAAAAACAAAUCUUUGACGUCAGCUUUACCCAAAUUAAACUCUAGAAAUCAAUAGAUCCUAAAUCAUAUGACAUCUUUUCCACUACAUAUACCACAACACAGUUUUAAGUCACCACAUAGAUCUGCAGAUUUGCAGAUUGUGCAUUUGCAGAUUUACAGAUGUAUAGCAUAUUACAAAUAUGCAAUUCUAUACCAGAUUGUUGUAGCUAUUUCAAAAUUUUAGUCCACCUCACGAUAAAAAAACAGGGACAAGAUGAGAAAUUUCCAAAGACAAUCUAAUAUAGAAAUAUAAAUCAAGAUGGUAGUGGCACCAAACAAAGCACAGAAAAAGUGGAAACUCAACUUGAACAACACAAAGAUACUCUACUGCAAACAGGUGCAGCAAAAAGAGGAAGAUAGAUCUUACACUACGACGUUGCAGCUAUCCAGACGUGGGGUUUUCAUCUGGACAUGGCACAGGUGGACUUGAGAUCUUACAGUACGACGUAGUACCUAUCCGGACGUAGAGCUUUCAUCUUGACUUGGUAGUCCCUCAUCUUUCGAGGUUGUCUACUAUUAUUAUCUAGAUUAUAUGUAGGAUUUAGCUAGUGGAGCAUGUUCCACUAGUCUUUCAUUUCAAACCUUGUAUAGGUGCCUUUUUGGCAAGUAUACAUUUAA